GACAGAGGGUGCAAACGUUGUUCGGAAUUACUGGGCGUAAAGCGCGCGUAGGCGGCCCGGUAAGUCCGUUGUGAAAGUCAAAGGCUCAACCUUUGAACGCCGAUGGAUACUGCCGGGCUAGAGUCCGGAAGAGGCGAGUGGAAUUCCUGGUGUAGCGGUGGAAUGCGCAGAUAUCAGGAGGAACACCAAUAGCGAAGGCAGCUCGCUGGGACGGUACUGACGCUGAGGCGCGAAAGCGUGGGGAGCGAACAGG
rnacentral:rRNA from 1 species